AGACUGUUAAAAAUGAACAGUACCUUUAAAACGAACUGGUCAAAAACCAGCCAUGUGGCUGUUUGCAAAUGAGCUGGUCUUGAGCCAAAGUCCACUCUCAGAUUCAGUUGCCUGGCUGGUCCUGCACACGAAAUUCUGCUCAAGCAUGGUUGCUAUAACAUUUAUGAAAUCAUGGGAAGAGCCAAAGACUCUUAUCUUCUAUUGAGAGCAGCAUAAAUAUUAUCUUCAACUCAUUUGCCCUUUUUUUUUGUUCCUGAAGAGAGAACAUGCCUGUCUUUCAAACAUCUGUAACAGAGUCACCUUUGCAACGAGUGGAGUAUUUCAUGAGAAUUCUGUUCAUAUUCUACCAUCUCUGCCAAGAACACAAUUUGAAUUCAGAGUCCAAGAUGUAACCUGAAAGGAGCAAGAAUACAGUUGACAGAGUGUCAGACUGGGAUCCAGAAGACUCGAGUUCAAAUUCCUGCCCAGCCAUAGUAACUCAGAAGGUGGCAGUUAUAAACCAUUCCUUGAACAUCAACGUAUUAAGAAAAUCCUAUUAGGGUCUUCACUGUUGAAAAAGCCAUUUUUAUUGAUACAAUGAUGAUGGUGAUACACUGUAAUUAUUACUAUUGCUAUUACUAUUAAUUGCUAUUAAUAGUAGCUAUAUCUAUAGUUAUUACAAUGGCUGUUACUGUAGUUAUUGUUGAUAAUAUUAACAUGGUCAAACUUUUUCCUAGAUGCGCAUUUAAGGGAAGAAAAUAGUAUCAUAGCUACCAUUACAAACUGGACUCUCUAUCCUUCCCAAUAAUACUUGGCUGGCAAUGUGGCAGAGGACUGGAGCCCCACCUUUCCAAGCAGUGCUGAAAAGGCCGUUCUAGCUGUCAUUUCAAUUCCUCAUUGUCCCCCAGAGCAACACUACCUCAGGAACAUUGUGGGGAAUUGCAACGGUGGCUCAUUCCAACUACAAAGACCCUCCAUUAUCUGUGAUUUUCCACAUGCUGACUCACAUGGAGAGCAUCCACACAUAGCAGCACUCUCUAUCUUCAGACUAGUUCCUCUGUAUUUGGAGAAGGGAGACAAAAUCAGAAACAAAAGGGGCAGAAGGGCAGGAGAUAGCACUCCUCUCCACCAUUAGUUCCCAACCUUGGGUCCCCAGAUGUUCUUGACUACAACUCCCAGAAAUCUUUGUGAGCACAACUAGUAGUGAAGGCUUCUAGAAAUUUUAAUCCAAGAACAUCUGGUGGACCCAAGAUGUUGGGAACCCUGCUUUAGAGAGUAUGCACAAAGUUCCUAAUAGAUCUGUUGCCAGCAAAGUGCACCCAGCAUUGAAAGGCAAUCAUAAUUCAUUUGAGAAAGCAUGCCUGGAGUUUUAAAAAUGCCCAUUGAUGAAUU
rnacentral:lncRNA from 1 species